rnacentral:tRNA from 1 species
CGGGGUGUAGCUCAGCUUGGUAUGAGCGCUUCGUUGGGGACGAAGAGGCCGCUGGUUCGAAUCCAGUCACUCCGACCA